rnacentral:sRNA from 1 species
GCCAGGCACGGUGGCACAUGCCUGUAAUCCCAGUGACUUGGGAAGCUGAGGCAGGAGGAUCUUGAGUUCAAAGCCAGCCUCAGCAAUGGUGAGAUGCUAAGCAAGAGUGAGACCCUGUCUCUA